GCUUUCCGCUAACUACCACCGUCCUGCCGGGUUCCACACAGGCUGCUGCUGCAGUGGGGCAAACUUGAAAGGCUGAAGGCCUCUUCCACCGCAGACCUCUCACCUUGCCAGGAAAGAGGACUAAAAGGCAAAGGUAACCACGGCCCCAAAGGAGGCGGCGAACAGGAAGUGUCCAUAUUGCAGCGCUGAAACAGUAGCUCCCAAGACAGCCACCCUCUGAGGCCCCCUCGAGGCGGUGGAGGGGCGAGAGGGUGCCGGGGUCGCUCCCACACACACCCGGGACCCGCCUCUGCCCACCACAACGCCCGGCCGCCCCCGGCACCUCCCCGUGCACUACUUGGCGGGGCCCAGCCAGUCCCAACUGGGGCCGGACGAGGACUCCGAGCCCGACAUGUCUCGCUCCACUUCAAGCCAGAGGAGGGGGCGUUGCAAAGGCUCCGAGGUGCUUGGGGUACUUCCCUAACAGCAGAUUCCAGCCCCGAGCCGAGCCCUGAGGGUCCUUGGGGCCCCCUCCACGCCUUCCCGGAGAGACGACACCCCUCGCCGCGGUUUCCGCCGCGCGACAGCCCCUCCCGGGCGGUCAUUACCUCUCAGGAAAAACUCCUAACUCCUCACAAGCCACACUCCCCUCAGUUCGACAUCCCCCGGAGCCCACACACCACCCGAUACGCGCGCCGGGGACACCCCCGCGCCGGCGCAAAUUCCUCACUGGACAAAAAUGUCCGGGCGCGUCACGGGACAGCCGCCUCCGCGCCCCACGCCUGGCGCGGGUCGCUCGCGCUGCCUCCGCGCCCGGGAGCUGCGCCGCGGGCUGGGGCGGGGAGCGCCGACCCUGGAGGGGACCGCUCCGCCCGGGACUCACCGUCAGCUCGGCCGGGAGGCGAGGGACCGGCCGGGGAAGACACAAUAUGGCAGAGCACCGCAGCUGUUCCCUGCAGCUUCCAGCAGUCGCCUCCGGGAAGACGCGGCAACCAGCAGGCAGCAGCAGCUGCAGUGGCGGCCCCGGCAGCACCACAUCCCCCUCCCGCUCGCUUCCUCCCCCUCCCUCCCCUUCCCCGCUGCCAUGGCAACGCGGCGCCAAGGCGAUUAGCCCCACCCCUCCCUCCAGUCCCGCCUCCCGCGACCCCGAGGAAGGGGGCUCGGCCGGCCCCUCCCGGUUCCCGCCCACCUCCUACCGAAGGGAGGGGCCUGGGUUCCGGCUGGCUGCCUGGCACGGCGGCUGGGGUGGGGGUGAAAUGCAGGGUCCGGAAGGGCGGGGCUCACACGGAAAGCAGGGUGGAGGCGCUGUAGGCCGGUGCGGGUUUAGGGCUGAGCAGGGCAGGGGAAAGCGGGAAAAUGCAAAGGCCUCGCAUGUCCGAGGAAGGACCUAUAGGAGUGCGGCGGAGGCGCGGCGCGGCCGCUGAGUGGUCGAGGAGGCGCGGGGGCGGGGCUAGGCUGCCGCAGGGCAGUACGGCCCUCGGUGCCUGUGCCCGGGCUGAGGAGACCUUCCUCGACACCCCACGUUAUGUGGGUUUCCGCAAGACCUUCCGCCAUUGCCUGGGCUUUGAAAGCGCUUUAGGAACGAUACGGAAACGGAGGCUUAGAAGUGGAAACUUUACAGAUAUGGAAACUGAGACUUAGAAAAAUGACCCGUCAAAGGCUCAGCUCAUCAUGAAGAAUGUCCAUGUGACUUUGGUUAAUAAAAUUGACUAACAAUAUCCAGAUGGUGGGGUCUCCAUCAGACUAGGUUCCUGAGUGAGAAAAAUGUGAAACACAACCCCCCACCUUCCCACCUACCUGGAGUGGACAUGCAGUAAAAGCAGAAAAUAAACUUUUUUUGGUAAAGAUUAGGGGGUUAUUUGCUAUUGCCUAAAUUAGUACAGUGUUAUUACUGCUUUUGUUCUCAGGAAUGUAGCAUUUAAAAUAAUACCACAGCUUUAAAUUAUCCUUAGAAUAACCAUAAAACAUAUAUUUUAAAAAACAAAAUCUGUAACUUUUUUUCAAAGGCGACUCUGUUUUUCUUGAAAUAGUAGAAGCACCUUUGGUAAAUUUCGUGGGUGUUUGUGGAAUGUUGAAUCAUGAUUAAUUUUCAUUUGUGUGUUGUUUGAAGGGUAAAACACAAGGAUAAAGUUUUGAAGGUGGAACCGAAUUUUCCUUUGUACACAGGAAUCUCCACUGAUAUCCCAGAGUCACUGUAAUAUCCUAGAAUCUAUAAUUCAUGCUAUUGGGCAAGGCCUUUUCCUUUUAGCAAACCUGAUGAAUAGAAAGUAGAAUAAUUCUGCUGUUUAUUUUCCCUUGACUCAUUUCCAGUAGUGAAGUAGUUAGAAGUAUUUGUCUCAAAGAAGAUACAAGGAAAAACAAAAGACCUGGAUGACCUAGUCUAUUUACUAUACACACACACACACACACACACACACGUACACACACAAUACAUAUACAACUCUGUAUAACUGAAAUUCUCUCAAAGAAGUCACAAUAUAUGGUGAUUUCACAAUUCAUAUCAAACUCCUCCUCUUUCUCUGGUCUCUGGAAGGAAACAGACUUCAUCAAUGAAGAGGGCUAUUUAUAAGAAGGAAAGAAUAUGGAAAACUUGUUUGAAAAGCAGUCAUGAAGUCUGGCAUCAGAGAUAUUUGAUGGAUUCUUUUGUACUCAAAAUUAAUGCUCUGAGGAGAGGAAAAGCCAAUGAAUGCAAAGGUCUGAGCAUCAAAUAAACAAUUCUCAUGGUUGGUCUUGAUAUUUGAUGUCAGAUAACUUUCAA
rnacentral:lncRNA from 1 species